GAUGAACGCUGGCGGCGUGCCUAAUACAUGCAAGUCGAGCGGACAGACGAGGAGCUUGCUCCUCUGACGUUAGCGGCGGACAGGUGAGUAACACGUGGAUAACCUACCUAUAAGACUGGGAUAACUUCGGGAAACCGGAGCUAAUACCGGAUAAUAUAUUGAACCGCAUGGUUCAAUAGUGAAAGACGGUUUUGCUGUCACUUAUAGAUGGAUCCGCGCCGCAUUAGCUAGUUGGUAAGGUAACGGCUUACCAAGGCAACGAUGCGUAGCCGACCUGAGAGGGUGAUCGGCCACACUGGAACUGAGACACGGUCCAGACUCCUACGGGAGGCAGCAGUAGGGAAUCUUCCGCAAUGGGCGAAAGCCUGACGGAGCAACGCCGCGUGAGUGAUGAAGGUCUUCGGAUCGUAAAACUCUGUUAUUAGGGAAGAACAAAUGUGUAAGUAACUAUGCACGUCUUGACGGUACCUAAUCAGAAAGCCACGGCUAACUACGUG
rnacentral:rRNA from 1 species